rnacentral:lncRNA from 1 species
GUCAUUGGGAAGACUGACAGAGAAGGUUCUGGACUCCAGCUGGAAGAGGGAGGGCAGGAAGAAUGAAAAGGUUCUGAGAACCACAGGCUGCUCCUCCUCCCUGCUUUGCAAGAGGCCUGGAAAGUCCUGUGGGAGAGAGUAGAGGUGCUGUCCUUGCAACAGUGUGGUGUAAAAGGAAGUUGCCUCUGGUCAUCUCUUCUGGGUACUGAGAACAAGGCAUUCAACAACCCAAUCGCCGUACAUAGCACACAGCACUCGAAGGUGCGCUAACUUCUGUGGGACAGAACCCGUAUCCCAGAGCAGCUCUGGUGACCGGCUCUCACCUGGUUAUGUUUACUGUUGCCCACCUACCAGCCAUGGCGACCCAUCUACUUUCCCAGAGGCCCGGCAGCGUAGCCUGCCAGCCUGGCCCUGGGGCAUCCGCUGCAGCUCCUGCACCAUCUCAUCCCCUGCCAGCAAGGAGGCUGGGCUGGAUGGCAGUGAAGAGGACUGCAGCCCACCUGCCGACCCUGUGCUGCUGCUUCCCCGAAGAAACCGACCUGAAUAAAACUCAAGGAAGCAGGGGUCCAAUGGUGCGCCCAGUGUGUUACCUGUGUCUCAAUGCUGUCAUUUCAAUUGUCAAGUCGUAACUGUAGGGAGGACAGAAAGAGAGAGAGAGAGAGGGCACGGGGAUUGCUGAUCAAAGAGAACAGUUUCAGAUGGAGAUCUGCAGAGGAGGGUGGCCAUGACCAUCGUCAAGAAUAAUGUCUGGUGUGUUUCAAAGUAAGCGUCCGUUUCACAUGUCUCCUUGGGUUUUGUUUUGUUUUUUGAGUCAGGGUUUCACCAUGUAGUUCAGGCUGUUCUUGAACUCAUCAUGUAGCCCAGGCUGGCCUGGAACUCCUGGCAAACUUCUACAUCAGACUCCCAAGUUCUGGGAUUACAGGCAUGCACCACCAUGCCCGCAGUUUCCUUACAUUUUAAGUGGAGAUGCAUG